GAUGAACGCUGGCGGCGUGCCUAAUACAUGCAAGUCGAGCGAACAGACGAGGAGCUUGCUCCUCUGACGUUAGCGGCGGACGGGUGAGUAACACGUGGAUAACCUACCUAUAAGACUGGGAUAACUUCGGGACACCGGAGCUAAUACCGGAUAAUAUAUUGAACCGCAUGGUUCAAUAGUGAAAGACGGUUUUGCUGUCACUUAUAGAUGGAUCCGCGCCGCAUUAGGUAGUUGGUAAGGUAACGGGUUACCAAGGCAACGAUGCGUAGCCGACCUGUGAGGAUGAUCGGCCACACUGGAACUGAGACACGGUCCAGACACCUAAGGGAGGAAGAAGUAGGGAAUCUUAAGCAAUGGGCGAAAGCAUGACGGAGCAACGCCGCGCGAGUGAGGAAGGUCUUGGGAUCGUAAAACUCUGUUAUGAGGGAAGAACAAAUGUGUAAGUAACGAUGCACGGCUUGACGGUACCUAAUCAGAAAGCCACGGCUAACUACGUG
rnacentral:rRNA from 1 species